UACGGGGGGAGCAAGCGUUGUUCGGAUUUACUGGGCGUAAAGCGUGCGCAGGCGGUUCGUUAAGUCAGAUGUGAAAGCCCCGGGCUCAACCUGGGAACUGCAUUUGAAACUGGCGGGCUUGAGUAUGGCAGAGGGGGGUGGAAUUCCGCGUGUAGCAGUGAAAUGCGUAGAGAUGCGGAGGAACACCGAUGGCGAAGGCAGCCCCCUGGGCCAAUACUGACGCUCAGGCACGAAAGCGUGGGGAGCAAACAGG
rnacentral:rRNA from 1 species